rnacentral:lncRNA from 1 species
GCCACCGAAGUAGCUGAACAGGCGAAAUUACCUCCGGCUGAGCUGAUGCGGUACUUCGGCUACAACGUCGAAGUUCACAAGGUUACCACUGCUGACGGCUACAUCCUAGAAGUCGACAGGAUACUCCCGAGCUCGGACAGUAACGCCACGGCAAGGCGUACGCCGAUGUUGCUUGUCCACGGUCUUCUCACAAACGCCGCCUCCUGGACAGCGAACCUACCAUCUCAAAGUCCAGGAUUCCUCUUGGCAGAUGCCGGCUUCGAUGUAUGGCUGGUAAACUCCAGAGGUGUGCCGCAGUCGAACUAUCACGUGAAUCUGACUACGAAUGACCCGGAAUUCUGGGA